UGGGGAAUAUUGGACAAUGGGCGCAAGCCUGAUCCAGCCAUGCCGCGUGAGUGAUGACGGCCCUAGGGUUGUAAAGCUCUUUCACCCACGACGAUAAUGACGGUAGUGGGAGAAGAAGCCCCGGCUAACUUCGUGCCAGCAGCCGCGGUAAUACGAAGGGGGCUAGCGUUGUUCGGAUUUACUGGGCGUAAAGCGCACGUAGGCGGAUCUUUAAGUCAGGGGUGAAAUGCCGGAGCUCAACGUCGGAACUGCCUUUGAUACUGGAGAUCUUGAGUUCGGGAGAGGUGAGUGGAAUUGCGAGUGUAGAGGUGAAAUUCGUAGAUAUUCGCAGGAACACCAGUGGCGAAGGCGGCUCACUGGCCCGAUACUGACGCUGAGGUGCGAAAGCGUGGGGAGCAAACA
rnacentral:rRNA from 1 species